GGUGAACCUGCGGAGGGAUCAUUACCGAGUUUACAACUCCCAAACCCAAUGUGAACCAUACCAAACUGUUGCCUCGGCGGGGUCACGCCCCGGGUGCGUCGCAGCCCCGGAACCAGGCGCCCGCCGGAGGGACCAACCAAACUCUUUACUGUAGUCCCCUCGCGGACGUUAUUUCUUACAGCUCUGAGCAAAAAAUUCAAAAUGAAUCAAAACUUUCAACAACGGAUCUCUUGGUUCUGGCAUCGAUGAAGAACGCAGCGAAAUGCGAUAAGUAAUGUGAAUUGCAGAAUUCAGUGAAUCAUCGAAUCUUUGAACGCACAUUGCGCCCGCCAGUAUUCUGGCGGGCAUGCCUGUCCGAGCGUCAUUUCAACCCUCGAACCCCUCCGGGGGGUCGGCGUUGGGGAUCGGGAACCCCUCAGACGGGAUCCCGGCCCCGAAAUACAGUGGCGGUCUCGCCGCAGCCUCUCCUGCGCAGUAGUUUGCACAACUCGCACCGGGAGCGCGGCGCGUCCACGUCCGUAAAACACCCAACUUUCUGAAAUGUUGACCUCGGAUCAGGUAGGAAUACCCGCUGAACUUAAGCAUAUCA
rnacentral:rRNA from 1 species